CCUACGGGUGGCAGCAGUGGGGAAUAUUGCACAAUGGGGGAAACCCUGAUGCAGCGACGCCGCGUGAGUGAAGAAGUAUUUCGGUAUGUAAAGCUCUAUCAGCAGGGAAGAAAUAGCGACCUUUGGGUCGCCAGACGGUACCUGACUAAGAAGCCCCGGCUAACUACGUGCCAGCAGCCGCGGUAAUACGUAGGGGGCAAGCGUUAUCCGGAUUUACUGGGGGUAAAGGGAGCGUAGACGGCAGCACAAGUCUGAAGUGAAAUGCCGGGGCUUAACCCCGGGACUGCUUUGGAAACUGGGCAGCCAGAGUGGAGGAGGGGGAAGUGGAAAUCCUAGGGGAGCGGUGAAAUGCG
rnacentral:rRNA from 1 species